rnacentral:rRNA from 1 species
UACGUUCCCGGGUCUUGUACACACCGCCCGUCACACCAUGGGAGCGGGUUUACCAGAAGUAGGUAGCCUAACCGCAAGGGGGCGCUUACCACGGUAGGAUUCGUGACUGGGGUG